rnacentral:rRNA from 1 species
GGUCUGGGAUGGACUCGCGGCCUAUCAGCUUGUUGGUGAGGUAAUGGCUCACCAAGGCGUCGACGGGUAGCCGGCCUGAGAGGGUGACCGGCCACACUGGGACUGAGACACGGCCCAGACUCCUACGGGAGGCAGCAGUGGGGAAUAUUGCACAAUGGGCGAAAGCCUGAUGCAGCAACGCCGCGUGCGGGAUGACGGCCUUCGGGUUGUAAACCGCUUUUAGUAGGGAAGAAGGGCUUCGGCUUGACGGUACCUGCAGAAAAAGGACCGGCUAACUACGUGCCAGCAGCCGCGGUAAUACGUAGGGUCCGAGCGUUGUCCGGAAUUAUUGGGCGUAAAGAGCUCGUAGGCGGUUUGUCGCGUCUGCUGUGAAAUCUGGAGGCUCAACCUCCAGCCUGCAGUGGGUACGGGCAGACUAGAGUGCGGUAGGGGAGAAUGGAAUUCCUGGUGUAGCGGUGGAAUGCGCAGAUAUCAGGAGGAACACCGAUGGCGAAGGCAGUUCUCUGGGCCGUAACUGACGCUGAGGAGCGAAAAGCGUGGGGAGCGAACAGGAUUAGAUACCCUGGUAGUCCACGCCGUAAACGUUGGGCGCUAGAUGUGGGGACCUUUCCACGGUUUCCGUGUCGUAGC